AUCCAGCUGACGGGUCCCAAAAUAGGACGAAACACGCGUCCUGGAU
rnacentral:hammerhead_ribozyme from 1 species